rnacentral:rRNA from 1 species
UACGAAGGGUGCAAACGUUGCUCGGAAUUAUUGGGCGUAAAGGGCUCGUAGGUUGCCAACUAAGUCAGACGUGAAAUCCCUCGGCUUAACCGGGGAACUGCGUCUGAUACUGGAUGGCUUGAGUUCGGGAGAGGGAUGCGGAAUUCCAGGUGUAGCGGUGAAAUGCGCAGAUAUCUGGAGGAACACCGGUGGCGAAGGCGGCACCCUGGACCGACACUGACACUGAGGAGCGAAAGCCAGGGGAGCAAACGGG